GAGAGAGAGAGAGAGAGAGAACAAACAAUGCAAGCGAGAGAAAUAACAUGAAGCCACUAGAUUGAAUGUGCAAUAUUUGUGUUAACCUGCUACAGCUGUUCCUUUUUAGCAUGUAGACGUGGGUUUUGGCUAAUGGCUGCUUAGGUCAUGUGUUUUAUUGAUGGGUCAACUGGUGCCAUGUGCAGCCUCAGUUUGAUUUUGUCCAUGCGUGCUACACAAGUUUUGUGAAUGAACGCCACCCUGCAGCAUCAUUUUGAACCAAUGAUUAACCUCGCAGGGAGAAGUUAGAUGGUAGAGUUAGAAGAUUGUUAUAAUGAUUGCCAAUUUCUUAAGAUGACAAUAUGAUAUUUGAAGUGUAAGCAAAAUACACGGUGGUUUAAGUAGCUAGUGAGCCAAUGGGGUUUCAUAAACAGCAAACCGCCGAAGCAGCGCUGGAAGAAACUGGAACCAGUAUAGUAUGAGCUGAGGUUUAGAAGCUGCAGACUACCGGUCGGAAUCUCGACAGCACUUGCAUCAUUUCUGAACACCCCCUCCUCCCCACAGUCCCUCUCUCCUCCGCCCCAUUUUAACCACUACUCCACAACCGCGCCCCACUGUAAUAAAAAUAAUAAAAAAAAAUCCAUUUUUCUCUUAAAUUUUUAAUUUUAAUGUAAAUGAAUUUUUUGGUCAUUAUGUUAUAUUAUAAUUAAUAUUUAUAUUUUAAAAAAUAAA
rnacentral:misc_RNA from 1 species